ACUGCUAAAUUUAGACAGCUCACUGCGCAGCCACUAGCUAAUUAUCUGUUUAGAUAGCACUUUAACACGUUGUUGAGACUCAGUUAAAUGUUAAACAACCAAAAUUUUAAUAUCACUAGCCAAUUUCAUUCUUCCAGGUUUUCCCUGAUGGCUCCACAUCUCCAAGAAAACAUCUUCAACUAAAGAUGUCAAAGCACAAGCUCACUUCCCACGGAAGGUAGCAAUUACUAUUAUCUACUUGACAGCUACAAGAACCUAGGCACAGAGGUUAAGUGCUCUGCAAAUACUACCAGCCAGUGGUGGUUUUCCUGCCAGAACCAAGUUCUUGCCUUCCAGUGGACACCAUUGAUCUCUCAAGAUGAUUCUUUAAGUUAAAAAGAGCUGAAAGCCUGCAAACUACAUUUUGUUAAGUCUUUGGUAAACACAUUUCAUAUUAAUUUCUGUUACAAGGCAGCAGAAAUAGGCACAGUGCCUCCAACAUAUCAAAGGAAAGUAAAGGCUAGUGGAAGGGGAUAACAGCUUCCUGACCUCCAGGCACGAAUCACAAAGGGCCUCAAAACCACAUUAAAAUUUAAGAUUGAUCUGCUCUUCUGCUUCUGAAUGUGAGAGCCUAUACUGGAUCUCUGAAGAAAAUAAAGAUGAGAUGAGGUUCUGAUCCCUUGGACUUCAUGAAGUUACGUGACAGAAAGUAUGAUUGUCUAGCCGAUACUUGACUGUGUGAAACCUUCAUCUACUCCGGAAUCCUGAGGCACAGACUCAGAGGCCCUCUGACUCACGAUUAGGGUUGUCAGGGUGAUGCAACAGCAAGACCAUAGCCUUUGGUGUCGGAAUACCAAGUUUUGAAGCUCAGUUUCCCCACUCACUAAUUUUCAGUGAGCACAUACAUAAUUUGAAAUCUGAAAAUGGACAAUAAUGCCUACCUACUUCAAAAUUUGGUUUGAGAAUCAAGUGAAAUAUUAAUAUAUAUGUAAGCAUUUUAUGAACAAGGAAGCAAGUUAUAAAUGCAUUAUCUUGUUAAUUUAGUCAUUUCACUAGGGGUGGGUCCAAUGUGGGCCUCCUUUGAGGUAGACUGUAUUUCAUGAAUUUAUAAUAAAAUUCUAAAGUUUAACAAAGACAGUACCUGGAAAA
rnacentral:lncRNA from 10 species